rnacentral:rRNA from 1 species
GAUGAACGCUGGCGGCGUGCCUAAUACAUGCAAGUCGAGCGAAUGGAUUAAGAGCUUGCUCUUAUGAAGUUAGCGGCGGACGGGUGAGUAACACGUGGGUAACCUGCCCAUAAAACUGGGAUAACUCCGGGAAACCGGGACUAAUACCGGAUAACAUUUUGAACCGCAUGGUUCGAAAUUGAAAGGCGGCUUCGGCUGUCACUUAGGGAUGGACCCGCGUCGCAUUAGCUAGUUGGUGAGGUAACGGCUCACCAAGGCAACGAUGCGUAGCCGACCUGAGAGGGUGAUCGGCCACACUGGGACUGAGACACGGCCCAGACUCCUACGGGAGGCAGCAGUAGGGAAUCUUCCGCAAUGGACGAAAGUCUGACGGAGCAACGCCGCGUGAGUGAUGAAGGCUUUCGGGUCGUAAAACUCUGUUGUUAGGGAAGAACAAGUGCUAGUUGAAUAAGCUGGCACCUUGGCGGUACCUAACCAGAAAGCCACGGCUAACUACGUGCCAGCAGCCGCCGCCG